AGAGAUGAUCGUACUUAUGGAAACUCAGAUGCCUUGCACUGCUGCCGGAUCAAGGAUGGAGUGAACUAAAACACUUUGCUAUUACAACUAGCCCUCCCUGUUCCAUGAAUCGACAGGGGAAGAAUUGGCAAUGCUAAAUUGGUGAGAAGAGAGCAAGAGGAAGAUGAUGAGUUGACAUGGAAAAGCGACUUGCGAUAUGCUCAGCGGAUCACCAUGUCAAGGAAUGAGCAGUUAAAUAAGAGUCUCUUCGACAAAAGUAAGAGGGAGUAUUUCAUAACUGAACAUGUUUUAUGUACAAUCUGUUACUGACUGGCAUUGUGAAAAACGCAGAGUGUCAUCAGAAAAAUGAAGCCUGAGGACGCUAUCAGCCUUUCCUGUCAAGUAUUGGCCACUACUAUCUGCAUUAGCUUCACCUCAGAACAUGCCCUUUUUCACUUGGAGAGAGGAAGUAGGAGUUCUCAGUGAUGAUCAUCUACAAGAUACCAUACAUGUUUGUUGAUUGACUAACAAAGACAAAGGCCGUACCGUUAUUGAUGUUUCUAUAGCAUUGUUUCCAGCUGUUGUAACACCUGUUUUUACACUUGCAAGUAUGAACUAUUUGGCUAUAUUUUAUAGAACUUAUGUACCGAUGUAGAAUGGUAUAUCAUGCUUUUAUACUUUAUGAUAUACCUUUUCGUUGUAGUAUUUUGGAAAGUUGCAAUGCUCAACAUUUGUAUAGACUUCUAUCAUAAUGAUCCUCUCCUUGCCAGUUGGCAAUGAUUUCUUUU